rnacentral:rRNA from 1 species
ACGGGUGCGUAACACGUGGGAACAUACCCUUUGGUUCGGAAUAACUCAGGGAAACUUGAGCUAAUACCGGAUAAGCCCUUACGGGGAAAGAUUUAUCGCCAAAGGAUUGGCCCGCGUCUGAUUAGCUAGUUGGUGAGGUAACGGCUCACCAAGGCGACGAUCAGUAGCUGGUCUGAGAGGAUGAUCAGCCACACUGGGACUGAGACACGGCCCAGACUCCUACGGGAGGCAGCAGUGGGGAAUAUUGGACAAUGGGCGAAAGCCUGAUCCAGCCAUGCCGCGUGAGUGAUGAAGGCCUUAGGGUUGUAAAGCUCUUUUACCCGGGAAGAUAAUGACGGUACCGGGAGAAUAAGCCCCGGCUAACUUCGUGCCAGCAGCCGCGGUAAUACGAAGGGGGCUAGCGUUGUUCGGAUUUACUGGGCGUAAAGCGCACGUAGGCGGAUCUUUAAGUCAGAGGUGAAAGCCUGGAGCUCAACUCCAGAACUGCCUUUGAUACUGGGGAUCUCGAGUUCGGGAGAGGUGAGUGGAACUGCGAGUGUAGAGGUGAAAUUCGUAGA